rnacentral:tRNA from 1 species
GCGGACGUGGCGGAAUUGGUAGACGCGCUAGAUUUAGGUUCUAGUGCCGCAAGGUGUAAGAGUUCGAGUCUCUUCGUCCGCA